CUGGAGGGAACGUCUGUGCGAUGCGACGAGCAUGCGGGCCAAGUACAAGAAGCAACAAUGCCUUCCGCCAUGGAGGAAGGAAACUGAGGAGAGGCCCUACUCCCUCCGCACGCUAGGAGAAAAGUGUGGAGGAAAUGACGUAGGCACUGGAAGCUACACAGUGGACAAGCCAAGAGGGCAAAGCCCCGGCCAAAGGUUGAGCAUCGCAGCGAUGACAGGGCUCGUCGUGGCGCGCUGUGACAGUCGACUGCGCUGCACAGCACGCCAUUGCCAUCUCAGAGGCCGCGCACAGCAGGUGCAGCACGCAAUUAAAAAAUAAUCUUUGACAUUUUGCGAUAAAAGGCAUAUAGAUUUUCCAUUUCUUCAACUCUAAAUUAGCAAUAAUGUGUUACUGAGAAUCUUCUUAUGAUCACGAAAUUCGCAAGUAGCUUUGGUUGGCCAACUGCUUUCGAUGAGCUUUCGAUGAAAACAUUGUGGAUAUGAGUGCGAGCAUCAGUUUUAAUAUGAAAUUGUAAAUUCCCUGCUGCAUUGCAGUGCAAUAAUAUUUGGCCCAUAUUUGGCCCACUGGAGCCUCAUUAACAGAUCGGAGUUUUCUUAAAUAUGUUCAAAAAGUGUUUCCGGGCCCCUUCAAGGUUCUUCUACACUGUGAAACUGCCCUUUUCGUUUGGCAUUGUUGGAAUAAGUUUGAGAGUUCUCUGUUGCUGAUGACUGAAGUGCAUGGUCAUGAAUGGGGCAGUCUGAUUAUGGCCUAAACGGAAUCUGCUUCCCCUGAGCCUCGUCCCAAUGGAACAGUUUUCCAUUUACCUUGACCUUGUUGAAGGACAGAUACACCUUAUCGUUGUCAUUCAUAUUUUGCUUGGCCCAAGGUUUUCUACAUGAGUGUGAGCGAGGACAUAGCCUGUGAAAAUAUUGCUGAGUGAGUAUCGACUUAUUCUGCCAACCUAUGCAAACAGUUUCUAAUUGUGCACUUGAGUUAGUAGCUCACAUGUUUCUGAACAAGAAAGAUUGCUCUGAGCCUAGCUGUGUGGAUGUAAUUUUUUCUGCCACUUUGCCAUUUCUCUGCUUACCUGAAAAUGGCCUUAGAACUUGUCCAAUAUAACUCAGUUUGGUUUAUCUCAUCUAAUAUAAUAGAACUGCGAGCAUUUUUCCCAUAAACAUAAUCUGUAUUCCUUUGCGGUCAAUUCAAUAUAGAAUUGCACGUCUAGCACGCUUUUACAGGAUUUAUCAUCAUCCUACACUGGACACACAAUUCUUUACAAGACCCCAUUAUGUAUCACAGCUUGUCGAUCACUGUCAUAAAGUUUGGACCUAUCUAUGUCAUGCGAUGCAUUUUUCCCAGUCUUUCUUUCUUUGUGCAUGUGUACACUGGAACCACCUUCCCGCUGACAUCGUAAAUACUACUAGUGAUAGUAGCCUUUUUCAUGAAAUUUGAGCUAACAUUCUAUAACCAGAAAUUUCUUUUUUGUGACACAGCAGCCAGCAUUGUACAGAAAGAAACCUCUUGUAUUUCAGCAUUUUGUUUUGUUCAUAAUAAUCACUGCAUUUUCUUUACUUCCUAUGUACCACUUUUUCUUUUGUACCACAUCCCUCUAUAAUGCCUCUGGCCCUGAGGGUAUGGUAAAUAAAUAAAUAAAUGAAUAAAUAAAUACUGUUGUUAUAUUCA